GUGCCAGCCGCCGCGGUAAUACCGGCAGCCCAAGUGAUGGCCGCUGUUAUUGGGCCUAAAGCGUCCGUAGCUGGCCGCACAAGUCCGUCGGGAAAUCCGCCCGCUCAACGGGCGGCCGUCCGGCGGAAACUGCGUGGCUUGGGACCGGGAGGCCUGAAGGGUACGAUCGGGGUAGGAGUGAAAUCCCAUAAUCCCGCACGGACCGCCGAUGGCGAAAGCACCUCAGGAGAACGGAUCCGACAGUGAGGGACGAAAGCCAGGGUCUCCAACCGGAUUAGAUACCCGUGUAGUCC
rnacentral:rRNA from 1 species